AGUGUCUUCUGUUGCAUCAGAAUCUGCAUUCAGUACCGGAAAGCGCAUUCUUACCCCAUGGAGAAGCUCGCUAUCUGCCAGGACAGUUGAAGCACUUCUCUGUACGCAAAGAUGGUUGCAGAAACCUAUCUCUCUUGAUUUUCUGUGUGACUAUGUACCAGAUGACAAUUCCAACAUUGAAGAUGACAUUUUGGGAAAGGAUGAAGAUUAAGGGGAUGAUUGGCUUGAGAGAUGGAUGGACUGCAAUCUUUUACUGGUCUGCUACUUGAGAAAUGAAGAUCAAAUGGAUGACUCUUUUUCUUUUA